UUUUUUUUUUUUUUGGUUUGAAGUUAAAAAGAAAAACAUUGAUUGUUGGACAAUGCUCUUUUGACCAUUACUGAUUCAUGAAUCCGUAAUAAUGGCCCACGAUAUAUUCUUUUAACCGUCAACUUAAGAAAAAACAAACUAUAGUAAAUUAACGCAAUAAAAACCAUUAAUGCAAAUAAACUUCACCGAGCCAAAGAACAUGGGCUAACAAUCGGCACAAAGCACUUUCUUUUUUACUGUGAAAGGAAAAUAUUCACCGAAAUUAUAAUUAGUUAAAAUGACAACACUACCUUGAAAAAGCACUUAUAAAUAGAGGAUCGGUGCGAGUAACUGACAUUCAUCAUCAUCAUCAUCAUCAUUCACAGAACACAUACACGCACAAAAAAAAUUUCAUACAACAAAAUGGCGAAUUACUCAAGUAUUCACAUUCUCUUCUUGGUCUUCAUCACAAGUAAGACCAAACACUCUCUGUUUUCGUUCCUCCUCUGCUUUAUCUGUUUACAAAUGAGAAUAAUAUUAAUUCUACUUCUUAUCAAAACUCCUUUUUUUGUUCAUCGUCUUCAAAUCACAAAACAUAGUUCUCAAAAACAUUUCGUGUUUUAUUUUCCUUUGGAUUCAACAGUUUUUUUUUUGUUUCUGGAAUUUCAGACGGCAUUGCUGUUUCCGCCACCGUCUUCACAUUACAGAACAGUUGUCCUUACACCGUUUGGCCGGGAAUUCUCUCCGGUAACGACAACACCCUCGGCGACGGCGGAUUUCCCUUGACUCCUGGCGCUUCCGUACAGCUCACGGCUCCUGCUGGAUGGUCAGGCCGGUUCUGGGCUCGUACCGGCUGCAACUUCGACGCCUCCGGCCACGGUAACUGCGUCACCGGAGACUGCGGUGGCGUUCUAAAAUGUAACGGCGGCGGAGUUCCACCAGUCACUCUUGCUGAAUUCACACUCGUUGGCGAUGGCGGCAAGGAUUUCUACGACGUGAGCCUCGUCGACGGUUACAAUGUCGAGAUGGGGAUUAAACCUCAAGGUGGAUCAGGUGAUUGCCAUUACGCCGGCUGUGUCGCGGACGUCAACGCGGUUUGUCCUAACGAGCUUCGGAUCAUGGAUCCACAUACCGGAAUCAUCGCGGCGUGUAAAAGCGCUUGUGCGGCGUUUAAUUCUGAGGAGUUCUGUUGUACCGGUGCUCACGCGACGCCGCAAACUUGCUCUCCGACGCAUUACUCGGCGAUGUUUAAAAGCGCUUGCCCUGGCGCUUACAGUUACGCCUAUGACGACGCCACAAGCACCUUCACUUGUACCGGAUCUAACUACUUGAUCUCUUUCUGCCCCACCCGGUCUUAAAAACCGGAGCUCCGGUUUAGAUUUCACGUUUCUUUUGCUUAUUAUGUACUGAAAGAUUAUUAAUUUGUUUCAUCUUCUUCCGUUUUAAAUAUUUUUCUUGUACUCAGUUGUUACAUUCAUUUCAUUUGCAUUGUUGCUUUGAUUUGUAUCUUCUCUAUAUUUUACUAAGUAUUGAUUUUGCAUUACCUAUAUACAACCUAUGAACCUAAGAUAUUAAUAUCUGGAUAAACAAAGAUGGAGGGGCUUCACUAGAGAUUUUCUUUGUUUCAUGUCAUUUUGUUCCUGAUGACUUACUUACAUGAGAGAGCAAUAACAACUACUAGUGUUUACCCAAAAGAGAGAGAGCUAAACUACUAUACUCAAACUUUUUAAGCCGCGGAAUGGUUAAAACAUGUGACCCGCGCAGAUUCGACAGAUUUUUGUUAGUCUAUUAAAGGAUAUUUAGCUGAUGCAGUUAAAGAUCAGUGUUUCUGGCUUCUUUUGGCUUCCACUUGGCAAGCCUUCUUCAUUCCUGUUGCAGCCUGAACGAAUCCCACGAUAACCUGAAGCUCAUCCAUUUGCUGUAAACAAGAACAUGUCUCAGACUUAUCAAAAUCAGAAGACAAAAUUCACAAACAUAUCAUAGCUUUAAUGUUACCUGAGACAUGAAGUGUCUCUGAAUAAUGUCAAUCAGUUGCUCCUUUGUUGGAUUUGGAAGAGCAUCCACCUUUACAAGAAAAGAACAAUGAAUCACCUAUUGUCACAAACAAAACACUCUCUUCCCACAGUUACCAAGUAACAUCAGAUUGUUCUGUUGAACUCACGAGGUUAAAAUGUCGCCAAUAUCUCAGUAAUGCAGCCAUAUCCAACUUGGUAAGAUCAACCUUCUGCGUAAAGAACCAUAUUCCCUAAUCAGUAACACAUAGCAUUAACAUGAAAACCCCCCAACAAGUAGAAGAAAUUUGAGGUAUUACCAUGUUCAUGCGAGGAGUAAUACUCGAGUUUUUUGAGUGUGAGUCACAAGAAACUGCCCUGCACAAAGCCUUUUGAGAUAACCGCGAUGAUCUGUGUCCUCUCUGCUUCGACUUAUGAGGCUUCAAAGUGUCCUCAGUUGCUGCAAAAGACAAUCAAAGAACAGUCUUAAUGAAAUAUUUCACAAGUGCUUAACGAAUGAAAAAAAAUCUAGGUCAGAAAGAUUUGAUCUGAUACCAUGAAAUACUUCACAAAGGCUUGCUUUUCUUAUUCACAUAGUAAUCAAGUAUUUAUACAAGAGAGAAUUUCCUAUUUCUCGAUAAAGUUUCCUUAUUUCUGAUGAGACUAAAUCUGUAGUGUAAGAUUUCGGACAAUAUAUUGACAGAGACAAUGAACCAAACUUACUCAUAUCGGAAGGAUUAUUCCACUGUGUAGUAUGGUCGACUUCAAGAUCAUUGUCUUCUUCGUUCCCUGUAGGAUGUUCAAGAACACUAAGCGCAUUCCUCUGCAACUUCACUUCAAUUCCAUUAGUCAAAACCUGAAAAUUAAAAAGCACAAGGACUAAGAUUAAAAAUUGUACUCCAUAAGCAAAGUAAAGUAUGGGACUUUUUGAGAAAUGGGAAGGCUUGGAGACAACAAGUGGUGGAACUUGAUAUCGAUAUUAGUAAAAAAAAAUGAUGCUUUGGGUUAUGAGGAAAUCGUAUAAAAUACUGAUUUUUAUUGUAUAGCUAGAGAAAUGAUCAAAAAAGGAUCAAAGAAAGUAAAUUGAUAAUAUAAAACUAGAAAGCCUAAUGCAACGGAGAACAUCUAUAAAAAGUUAACAUCAAACCAAAGGAGAAAAAAAUUCGGCAGUGGAUGAAAAUGACCCAUCUGAAAAAGAAAGAACAAAAACCCUAAAUAUAAUUAAUUUAAGUAAUCAAAAUUAGUGACUACAAGUAAAACAAAUCUAAAAGCCAGCUUGAACCCACAAAGAUGUAAAAGAGAUAAGGAUUCUCAUGAAACUGAUUGUGAAAAAGAAACAAAAAAAAGUUAAAAAUAAAUACAAAAAGUGCAGAUCGUUAUGAUAAAAAAUAAAGUUAUGAUAAUUUUAGAACAAUCAAUCCCAUCGAUAUGGAUUUUGCUUUAUUUUUUUUUUUGUUGCGUUAAUCGAUUCGGUAACAUAGAAAUUUGUUGCAUUAUUGAGCUCAUGAUUCUGGAUACAGAAAAGGGGAAAGAUGCAAAUAAGACAAAACCAGGUAAGAAGAAACCGAAGUUGAUCUUGCUCACCAGCCAAUGCCAACCACCGAGUCCGACGGCUUUUUUAACGACGCCUUGAAGACCGACGAGUACGGAUUUGGUACGGUUGUUUCCGGUAACGAUGACUUUGGUAUGACGUGGCAACACAGAUAAUUCUUCUUCGCUACUGCAAUCGCCGAAGCAACUUUGUAGCUGAGAGAAUCCUCCUCCUCCUCCUCCUCCAUUGAGGAUGCUUGAGUUGUUCUUCGCAGCUUCCAGCAUUUGUCUUCUCUCUUUCGUUUUUUUUUUCUCUACUAUCAGAAAACAACCAAAUCGAGUUUCACAAUCUUCGAAACGGAAGUUGUUGCAUUUUGGAAAGGAUUGAGAGAUGAAAUAAGAGAGAAAUCGAGCUACGAAAUUAGGGUUUUUUUGGUCUGAUGAAGAAAGACAGAGUAAGAGUGAGAGAGAAAGAGGAAAAAGCAGAGUAUUAUGAGUAAGAGAGAGAUACAGACGAGGGAAGGGAAGGGACGAUAGCGACCGCCUUCCUAUCGUAACCAAUAAGAAAUCAACACGUGUGUUUUGUACUUCUAUCAUUUGCACUGUGGAAAUUGAGCGGUUUUUUCAUGGAUGGGUACCAAAACCUUUUUUUGUCUUUUUUUACCAAGAGCUUUUUACUUUUUACUCUCUCUAAUAAGAUGGAGACGUCAUUGUUGGAAAACUUGCCCAACAUAAUAAUAGAUUAAGAGCUUAUAUUCCUUGUUAAUUCUCCCAAUUGAAUGAUACCAUAUUUUACUCAAAACAUAAUUUAAACCAAAACCUUAUUUUCCAUAUUAUUCAUUAUAUUACUUUUUUGAUAAAGAAGAUAGCUAAGCUAAGCGCUCUAUUCAUUAUAUUACUUGUCUUGGUCGUGGAAGAUUCAGAUUUUAUAAAGCGAAAUUCAACUGAAAAAAGAGUGGAUACGUUUGGUUAAAUCCUUAGAAACAUUUUGGGUACGAAUUUGUAUUGGAAUCUGAGUUUGAUGCUUUUGGAGGGUUUUAAAAUGAUCGAAAAAGGAAAACGAGGGCCACACUUCGUAAAUUUUGUGUAAUGUAUACACGCGAUCGACGUGAAUCUGAAUGGUUGACUGGUUUUUUCAAAAAAAAAGAGUCAGGCAUAAUGGGCCCAUGCAGCGUAAAGUUACGAUUAUACCCCUAUGGUUUAUUUGUUUUCUUUCGUUCCUCUCCCAUUGAAUUUGAAUUCGAAUUUGUAUAAUGUCCAUACUGAACAUUUAACUAAAGAGUGAUUCGUAAGACAACAUUUUUUUCUUGUUCAAGACAUAGCGUUUUGUACGUUUGAAGGUAUAGAGUUAGAAAAAGAGUUAUCAAGGUAACAUGGAGAUAAUCGAAAAGGCAAAACAUAUUUCAGAAAAAAGUCAAUAUUUUUCCCUAAAUAUGAACAGCUUAAGAGAAAGUUAUAAAAGUAUUUAAUUAACUCAAAAAUAUAAUCAACUAAUAAAAUGAAAUAAAGAAUCUAAUUGGUAUGUUGAAGAUUGCAUCACUAACUUUCGACAUGGUUUCCAAACUCUACAAAAUCUCUUUAUGUUAUGAGCUAUAGCAAUUCAAUGUAUGCCAGCAGCUGUGAGAAUAAGUUUGACAUUCAACUAAUAUGAACAAUUUGGAAUCUCCGUAUUCUGUGUGAACGACUAGUCGAUUGAAUAAAAACUCACAAGUUUCAUCGACACCACUCGUAUAACGUGAAUCAAAAUUAUUACAGUACUUUGAUCGUACACCCUAAAGAAACGAAAAAAUAGAUUAUUGAUUUGUAGAUAUUGUUAAACAAAUUACAUUGGCAAAAAAGUUACAUUAGGAUGAAGUACCUAAAAAAAUUAUUGGACAUGGCUAAACCGUUUGGAGUCAAUUUCCUAUAUUCUUUGACUAACUCUUUGCGUUGUGAAUGUGUUCUUCUACGGAAAAAAAAUACAAUAAACCAUCAAGAAAAGAUAAACACCAACUCAUAGAAAAUAAUCUGAAAAGAUAUUAAAAUUGCAAAUCGACACAAACCAAAUUAAAUUGAAAACGUAAGAUAUGAUACGCUACAUCACAAGAAUUCCGAAACUUAUCUCCAAGAAUUCCUAAACACUUACAUGUUAUAGAAGAUAUUAAAAGGCAUUGAGUCACUUUUUCCCGGUGAGCUAGCAACCAAGCAGAAACUGAACAAAACAUGACAAUGGUUUUGUUCAAAAAAAAAAAAAAAAAAAAAACAUGACAAUGGUUUUUUCUGUCUCAAUAGGUGAUUCAAAUGGUCGUUGCCUUCAUUCGUGGAGCGAUGGAGACUAAGAUUGAGAGUGGAAAUAACAUGUUUUAUUAGCUCUAUAUGGGACAUGUAAGCUUUAAACUGGAAUCACACACCAAUUCUACAAUAAAAAAUGAAUAUUGUUACGAUUAUUGUCAUCACAAUAUAUAAAGAUUCGGUCACAAUAAUUCUAUAUGCCUAAAAGCCAAAUUUGAUGUUCAACUUAUCACGCAAUUGAUGUUACAAUACACUAUAUAAUCUUACUUGGAAACACAUAUCCAUUAACUUGUAAGUAUCUAUCCACAUUACUAGCUACGCGUCCUUCAUUUAAUAUAUGAAACUAAUGUUGAUCAUGUGUAUUUUUCUAGAAAACAAAAUCAAUGAAAAAUGUUUUGAAUUUUUUGUUAAUGAAUAUUUUUAGAUUACUAUUGUGUAUCCUUGGGAGUUUGGUUUUAGUAGAUUUUGAUGACACAGUUCUUAUGGGUUUUAAUGGUUUAUCUAAUUGUUUUCAAAAGUAAAACAACGAUUUAAAACAUACUUAACACAUAUAGUCUACUUAUCGCCAAACCAAAGAAGAAACCCUCUAAACAUAUGUAUUCCUCUUAACGCUGGUUCUAAGAUUUAACAGAUAAUAUAAAAGUUAUCACGACUUUUUUCUCUAUAAAAGUUACUAGGAUUAAGUACAACAUUUUCGUGAUGCAUUAACAAAGUCGUUGUAGUAUAGUGGUAUGUAUUCCCGCCUGUCACGUGGGUGACCCGGGUUCGAUCCCCGGCAACGGCGUUAACCCUUUUUUAUGCCUAAUUCAUUGUAAACCCUCUGGUUCAUUCCAAAUGUUUCCCAACUCGCGAAGGUUCCUUGCUUAUAAGACAUUUGUUACACGGUCCUGCACUUUCUACAAAAGUAAACGUCAUAAUCUGAAAAAAUUACAAAUAAAUGAAUAAUUAGUUACAUCUAUACUAGCAGUCUACCUCAGAGAGCUGUAGUGUCUCAUUAGACCAUAUGCAAGGAGGAAACUUUUGAUUGUGUUCUUAGGAUUUAAAAAUAGGAAAUAAGGUGAACAGUGGUAGAACAGUUCUAACUUAUCCUGCAAACUGUUCUUCCUGAAGAACAGUUUUUAUAAUUUUAAGAACAGUUGUAUCCACUAUUCAACAUUUUUAUUAUUUUAAAACCCUUAAGAACACACUAAAUGUUCCCCCUUGCAUAUGCUCUUAGUCAUACAACUUCUUCUUUUUUCCUUUUCCUGCCAUUGCAGAAAAAAAAAAAAAAAACUCACGACAUAAAAAAAGGAGACAUUUUAAGAUUAAAAAGAUGGAUUUAAGUCACAGGUUCUUAUUAUUUUGAUAAAACAAUGUAAUCAAUUUUGAUUUGGUUGGAAGAUCAUAUAUCAUACAAUGUAAUCAAUUUUGAUUUCGUUGGAAGAUCAUAUAUCAUAUAUGCCGCCGGGCCUAGCUGUAGGACAAACAACUCGUAAACCCCUUUUCCCUUUUAUGUUCAUUGAACUAUACAGUUUUUUGGUUAUGAAUAAAAAAAUAAUUAUGGACCCAACAAUUAAUCCAAAUUUUGGAAGUAAAUUAGAUACUAAAAGCUUAAAAUCAACAUGUAAAUACUGUCUAAAACAUACUAGUAGAUAUGACAAAUCUGUUUCUUUAUAUUAUCUGUAAAGUAAGAAGAAGGUUAAAAAGUUAUAAUGUAUGGUUUACAUACAAAUAAUCAGGACAAAAGUGGUCAAUUCGUUUUCAAAAGUGAGAUUUGUAUGCAAGAAAAGUGCUAAUUUCAUUUGAAUAUAUCAUUAUGAUGUUAAUCACACGGCUUAUUCUUUGGUAAUUAACAAUACAGUUCAUUGCAUAAAAUAAAAAUAUAAAAAAAAACAAUCAAAUGGUGUGUUUUUCGGUCACACAAGUAAGGGACCCACACUGAAGAAACGGGUCCCACUUUGUCCCCUCCUUUCUCUUCUCUGUAUUAUUUGGUCAUUAACUCACAGAAAAAUGAUUAAAAAAAGAAAAAACAAUAACGUACUGCUUCGACGAAUACACCACACGCUACUAUACGUAGUUAUCCUCUACACCCAAUCAUAUACCUCUUCUAUGCACCUUACCAACUCACCCUUCAAAAAAAACGUAGUACACGUGGACGAUCGAUAUAACAAGAACACGGAGUCGUUAUGUGAACUCAACGUACUUGAACACACACACGACCCAAUUAUACUUUGGAGCACAAAAAAAAAAAAAGGUUUUGGAGAAGAAAGAGAGAUUCUGCUUCGAUUCCAGCGAAGGAAAAGCGUAUUCCUCGUGAGCACUAACUUCUCACUCCUCUUCUUCAUCAUCUUCUUCUUCUUCUUCUUCUUCUUCUUCUUCUUCAGUCUACGUUCACACAAUCUUUCACCCACCCAUUAAAAGCUCUCUCGGAGGUUUCGAGGGGCUUGGUUUUCUGAUGACGUCGGAUGGAGCUACGUCGACAUCAGCAGCUGCGGCUGCGGCGGCGGCAGCAGCGGCGAGGAGGAAGCCGUCGUGGAGGGAAAGGGAGAAUAAUCGGAGGAGAGAGAGACGGAGAAGAGCUGUAGCUGCGAAGAUAUAUACUGGGCUUAGAGCUCAAGGUGAUUAUAAUUUGCCUAAACAUUGUGAUAAUAAUGAAGUCCUCAAAGCUCUUUGUGUUGAAGCUGGUUGGGUUGUUGAAGAAGAUGGUACUACUUAUCGCAAGGUGAACAAUUUCUCCAAUUUUUCCAGAUCUGAGCUUGUUUCUUCAUGUUUGAAUCUGAAUUCGUUGAUUUCAAUUCCGUUUAAUCGGGUUUGAAUCUGAGAAAUUAAGGGUUUUCUCAAAGUGAAUUUGGAUCAUCAGUAACUAUGGAUGGAUCUAAUUUCUCAAAGUGAUUUUUUUUGGGUUUUCUUACUAAUUUAGAGUGAUGUGUUUAAGGAGAUUUAAUCAGAUUAAGGACUUUCUGAUGAUUCAAAUCUUCAACAUUUGUAAUUCAAUAGGUCUGCUUCCUUGAGCUAUUAUUAGUAUGUUAAAAGUCUUAAUCUGUAUAUACGAUACUUAAUCCAAAGUCAUUGCAUUGGUGAUUGGUUAUGACAUUGUGAUGUUUGAUUGGUUAUUGUUUUGUUUUGUUGGAGUAUCAGGGAUGCAAGCCUUUAACUGGUGAGAUAGCUGGGACAUCGUCUCGAGUUACUCCAUACUCAUCACAGAACCAGAGCCCUCUUUCAUCGGCCUUUCAAAGCCCCAUCCCGUCUUACCAAGUGAGCCCGUCUUCUUCGUCUUUCCCGAGUCCUUCUCGCGGUGAACCAAAUAACAACAUCUCCUCUACAUUCUUCCCCUUCCUCAGAAAUGGUGGCAUUCCUUCCUCUCUUCCUUCCCUCAGAAUCUCGAACAGUUGUCCAGUUACCCCACCGGUCUCAUCACCGACUUCCAAGAACCCUAAACCGUUGCCCAACUGGGAAUCUAUCGCUAAGCAAUCCAUGGCCAUUGCUAAACAAUCCAUGGCGUCUUUUAACUAUCCUUUCUAUGCUGUUUCUGCACCUGCUAGUCCGACACAUCGCCAGUUUCAUACCCCGGCUACUAUACCUGAAUGUGAUGAGUCUGACUCUUCAACUGUUGAUUCUGGUCAUUGGAUAAGCUUUCAGAAGUUUGCACAACAACAGCCAUUCUCUGCUUCUAUGGUGCCAACCUCUCCUACCUUCAAUCUUGUGAAACCCGCGCCUCAGCAGAUGUCUCCAAAUACUACUGCGUUCCAAGAGAUUGGUCAAAGCUCUGAAUUUAAAUUUGAGAAUAGCCAAGUUAAGCCGUGGGAAGGAGAGAGGAUACAUGAUGUGGGUAUGGAGGAUCUUGAGCUUACACUUGGAAACGGGAAGGCUCGUGGUUGACAUAAACAACUAAACAAAGUCGGAUGGCAUGUCGAUGGAGUGUGAGAAACUAAUCCUCCUGAGUUUCUUCAUCUUUCUUCUUCCAGGUAUUUGGAUCUUUAUGGAAUCUCAUAUGCUCUUCACUUACUAUCCAAAUAUGCUGCACAAAGCCUUCUCCAGGGAAGCAUUGGAGUAUUAGAGUGGUUGUUCAAUUCGUGAAUUUGGUUUCAAAAGCAUUAUUUGUAGAUAAAAAAAUCUUAAGAUGUAUGAUUCUAUUUCCAUACAAAUGUUAUAUUAAUUAGUGGCUUGAAACUGUUUUGUGUCUUGUCAAAUUGCUUAGUCAUGUAUCAUUUCUUGAGCCGAUUCUGCCUCUUAGCAUCAAGAUCCAAAAUUUGCAGGAUUACAAAAUGUUAAAUUUUUUAUUUCCCUGCAAUCAAUCUUCUUUCAAACACUAAUCCAUAUCAUCAAAUAAUCUAGUUAGACAAAGCUAGCUAGAAAGCACAACCAAAUGGACACACCUAGCUACAAAUGCUACUUUCCAUAAUGAAUAAAAACAUUUGUCAUCAUCGUCUUCAUAAUAAUCCAGUCCAGUCAGUGUGCUGCUGAUCAAACAAGUAAUGGAGAAUGCAGAACCAGUUUGGUUUCAGUCUCAGGGCUUUUUGGUUCUUUACAUUCUUGGUACCGGUAGCAAGCUGUGAGAUGAUCAUUCACAAUGCCAGAGGCCUGCAAGAAGGAAUAAAUAACAGUAGGACCAACGCAGCGAAACCCUCUCUGCAUCAUAUCUUUGCUUAUGUACUCUGCCUUUGGGGACUUAACCGGUACUUGACGACCAUAUCGAUAGCCAUUUCUUAAUGGCUUGUGGUUCACAAAUCUCCAACAAUAGUUGCUAAAUGAUCCAAAUUCUUGCUUGACCUGUUUUCAGUUUUAAUAAGUUUCCAACACAUAAUAUUUCACAAUUUAAUAUCAAAACACACAAUACCUACCUUAAGAACCGAUUUGGCGUUCUCUACAAUUGCUCGCAGUUUCUGUUCGGAAAGAAUAAGGCACCCAUUUACUCUAAGAGACAUCAACCUCUUCUCUGUGAAUUGUGCUAUAGCUGAAGGAUCAAACUCUUCAAAGAGCUUCCUGCAAAAAAAGAAACAAAAAUUUCUGAUAUUAAACCAAACCAAAACAAAAAAUAGCAAAAUUCUUUGGCCUAAAUUUACCUAAAGUCGUCUCUUUUGUGUAGGAUUGAAGGCCAGCUAAGCUCAGCCAAUGCUUGUGAGAACACUAGCAGCUCGAAGAGUUUCUUGUCAUCACGAACUGGAACACCCCAUUCCUCGUCAUGGAACAACACGUAGAUCGGGUCUGCCCAUCAAUCACAAUCGUUAUUAUUAACCGAGAAACUUAUAUACUCCGUCAAUCUUCAACAUUUUUUUUUGUCUUUAUCAACUACAACAAGACCUAAUUUUGCUGGGAGCAAUUAAUGUGUUGUUGACAUCAAUGAAAUUGAUUGUUACCUUUAUUAACUUUAUCAGAAAUUUUACAUUUCGAAAACUAUAAACAGCCAUUCACAUGGCAUCAAUUUUGAAGUCGAUUGGGAUAUUUUUUGGGGCCAAAAUGAAGAAAAUUGGGUAAGUAUCUUUAAAUUCUUUGCAGAUUCAUUAAAUGUUGCGACAAGGACAACAAGUCUCUACAUAGUGUAAAAAAAACAUUUUAUUUCUAACAUGAAAACCAAAAAAAAAACAUUUUAUCCAAUUUAGGACACUACAUUGUUUUUAUUUCUAACAUUAAAACCAAAAAAUAACAUUUUAUUUCAUCUUAUGACAAAAAAAAUACCAUCUCCUCGUUAUUCACGAAAUUCAAGAAAAAAAAAUGUGAAUUUAAAUUAAAGUUAAAUGAGGCAAAGAGGGAAAAAAAAAGUUGUCAGACAAAGAAACCUGAAUUAGGUGUGAUCCAGUGGCAUCUCUUGACCGGUCCCGGAAUUUUAGGAUUAAUGUCUUCAACGGCGGCGACGGAGACGACGACAUUAUUGAGCUUCGUAACUCCGUUCCGUUUCGACGGAGUUAUUUUCCCAGAGUUUGUUGUCUUCACAGACGAACGUUCCGAGAAUGACGAAGAAGAAGAGGUAUCAUCAGUCGAGGCUGAGAAAUUCGAAUCCGGUUUCUCCGUCGCCGGGGAUUUCGUCACUCGUGGAUUCUGUUGUGGUUUCUUUGUCAUUUCUGUUUUCGUAACCUUAAAUCUGUUCCCGGUUGAACCGAGGAUAGCUCGUGACUCAACCAUUGGUUUAACCGGAGACCGAAGCUUAGAGACAAUAGACAUUUGUGAGAAGCGUUGAGUGGUAGUAAAUGGAGAAUUCGAAGGUAAUGUGAGGGUAAAUAUGGAAAGAAAAGGGAAUGAAAUGAGAUCAGAGAGAAAGUGAGAGAUGGAACAGAGCUUCUUGGAGGUUUUUAAAAACAGAAGAACGGUAACAAAUAAAAAGGAUGUAAACCGGUGAUAGCCGGUUAAAUAUUGCUUACGUGUCGGUUAAUUUUUCUGUUUAAUCGUUUUAUUGGUUUCAGAAAAGGACACCAAGAAAUGGUUAUUACAUGUCGUGAAAAUUACGUCUUUGUCAUUAAAAGUUUGCCGCCUGCAUUAUUUUCUAACUUAUGGUUAAUAGUGUAAACAAAUGUUUUGGAGAAUGCACCAAAGUCUUUUAAUGCUUUAUGACUUUCAACCAUAUACAGUAGGAGUAAAAUUUAACGAAUCAAACUACAGAAAUUAGCUAAAGAAUGUUUUGGAGAAUGCACCAAAGUCCUCAAUGCCGCAUGCUUUAUGACUUUGACCCAUCCAUAUACAGUAAAAUUAAUGAAACAACUGUACACUAUUUACUUCGACCUCAAAAUUAACUGCUUCAAUCACAGCUUUUGGCUUCUCGAAGAGGGGCAAGUACAAUGAUUGUAAAUGAACCAAGAUUAUUUGACCCCUUUUUAUGUUAUUUAAUACAGUGUGAACUAGAUAGAAUUUUACCAGUUUUUACAUUCCACUCAUUAUUUGUUUCAUUCUAAAUUAAAAAUUCACCAAUUGGCAAAUAGUGUAUUGUUUAUGUUCCAUCUUCUGUGGGAUUUUUGAUAUGCAAAUCGAAAUGAUGAUCCUUCUAGUCAUUAUAAAAUCAAAAUUUAGGUCUUGAUAAAACUAAUAUCAAAGCAAAUCGAUCAAUCAGAUUUUAGAUCUAAUUGAUUUCGGUUCAGACCAAACCGGUAGAAGUUCACAUUCUAAUACAAUAUUAAGUUUAUGGUUUUUAAUUCAAAACAAAUUUUAACAAUAAGUGUAAUGAGUAUUGACCCAUAUCCACACUUGUGUCAUUUUUAUCUAUUUAUGUAAAACUUUAGAUGUGUGACUAAUGGAGGGCAUCAGAGGUGGGCGGAGAGUCAGGGUCUAAUUUGGUGAAGUGUGUGUGGUCUUGAAGGGUAAAAUAGGGAAAACAAAAGCUUUAAGUAGAAGUUAAAAAAGUAGCUUACCGUUAACAAAAAGAAUCGUAAAAAGCCAACACAACACCAACACCAACUCCACCACAACCUCAUUUCUUUAAUUUCGAACGGCUAACUACUAAAUGUCUAAAUCAGUAAAUCCUCUUUAAUUGGCUUAGCCCAAUUAAUUAUAUGGCCUUAACUACACCCAUAUCUCUCUCCGUACGUACUUAAUGAAAGCCUUUUAUGAUGAUAUAUCAGAUAGAUUCAUAGAUCUCUCAACAAACCAACAAAAAAUUGAUGUAAGUAUACCUGUGACAACUAAAAUUCUGCAACAUCUUUUGAUUCAGAACCGUAUCUCUGUACAUAGCCUUUGUGUAAGAACUAAAAGACUAAAGACUCGUUGUCUUCCUUUAAACCGGUCCGAGAGUGUUGAAGUGGUCCCAUGCUUCCUAAAUGAUGGAACCAAACCAAAAAAAAAAGGACUUAGAUUUAAAGAUCCUGCAAUGUUUUCAAAUUGUCAUAAAUAUUGAUUAUAGUAACAAUAGUAACCUGUAAAAAUUCGAAAACUUUCUCGGCCAUGUAUUUCUGGUUUGCAGAAGCACCCUUUUGCUGUAGUUUGUCUGGAUGAAGGAUUAGUAAUGCCCUCUGGUACGAUUUUCGGACCGCGUUUCCUUCGAUCAUAUCCAUUAGAGGAACUGGCUUCCACCCGCUCCCGGACCAAAGAAUCUGUUAAGUAAAAUUUCCAAAUUCAUUAGUUAUGCAAAUAGGCUAAUGCAUAGGAUCCAACAAUGGUUUGUGUUAUACAUCAACAAAACACUUACAUAUUGCAGCGUGGAUAGAAGAGACCGAAUGUUUCCGCUCUUUCCACUUGACCACUUGCGGAUUUUAGCAUCGAUCUUCUGCAGAGGUUCGUAUUCCGUUUUCUUUUAAUUUUGAGGCUAUUUUCGUGUAAAAGAAUCGAAAAAGUAGUAUAUCUCUUUGCAAUUGCAGUAGUAUUACCUUGAUUUCUUCAGCAUCCUUAUUGGUUUCUUCCAUUUUGUUGUUUUCAUCUUGUGUUAUAUCCUCCACCUGCACAGCUCAUUACAAGUUCCACACCAAUUAUAAAGAGAAACAUACACAUUUUUAGAUUGAAAACCUGAAAAGUUGAAAGGAGCAUUAAGUUACAUCGAAAUUUACAUGGAAGGGCUCAUCUAUAUCCUCUGAGGUAGUAUGUGCUGAUUAGAAAAAAAGAAAAGAAAGAUGUUAUUUAGUUGUGUAGUGGUAACAAGAUUUAAAUCCGAUACACCAAUCCAAGAACUUACUUGUGCUCGGUUCUUGUCUCUCUUCUUGUACAGUAACACCAGGAGCCUUAUAGUUCAUGCUCUCCCGGUCUGAAUCCUUUUUCUGAGUUGCGUGUGAAGGUUUCGAAUCCCGAUUCUGCAACGAUAUUGACAGGUAAGGAAUCACAAACCAAGGAACAUAUAGCAAGAUGUUGAUUUUCAGGUAAAGUACCAUAGCGGGGAUAUCUGGAGUCGAUUUCUUUUGUUGAUCAGGAAUGUUUACAGUAUCUUUGGCAUUAGCAGCAUCAUGAUUGAUAUCAGUCUUGGGAGUUUCUUUAGCUCUCCAUCUAGAGCUUUGUCCAAGAGAUUCCCCACCUGCUCCAACUGAAGCUCCUUUACUGAAAAUCUUAACAAAGUCACUCACUUUUCCUUUGACUCCAUCUUUGCCAACUUCUGCUGCUGCGGAUGAACUUGCGAAGCUGGAUUUAUCGGGUCUCGGGCUACUAUCCAAAGAAUUUUUAGUGCCUUGUGGUUUCUUUUUUGUUCUUGAAUCUUCAGUAAAACUUUGCGUGUUCUUCGCUUUGCUUUUACCUUUUCUCACUUCUCUCUCUGAUACUAUUUUCUCACCUGCAAUGACAAAGAACCAAAUGCACAGUCCAAAAAAGGAAGCUAACCCAACCAAAUGUAGCAAACAUAUAUGUCUCCAGAAACCAACCUUGUCUUUCAUCGUUUUCAUGCAAAAUUGAAUGAAGAGACUUCACAGUAGUAGCUUCAUGAGCUUUUGACACACCAGAGAAGGCCUGUUCAGACAUCGAAUCAAUUGAAUAAAGAGGCUUCACAUUAGCCUCACGUGCUUUUGACACACCAAAGAAGGCUUUUUCAGACACCGAAUCGAUUUCUGUUUUCUCUUCUUUUGUCUGAACAUGAGGACGAUUUAGCGAGGUCUUCUUCUCCUCUUUCAAACCACUUUCUCCUUCUUCAUUUUCACCCGCUUUCUCAACUGAAGUUUUUAGAUGAUCACCCAAUGUCACCGGCGUUGUCCCCUCAGCUUUAGACAUAGAACUUAGUCUAGAGCUUCCCCAAAUAACAACAGGAACACCUUUAUUAGGCCACUUGUAAAUAGAGAAAUGAAACUGCCUGCCUUUGCCAGUAACAACAACUCGUGCAGGAUCAUCACAAUCAUCUGAAUAUGAUUUAGCAGUAGAGACCAUAUCGGCUUUGCUUGAAGUUCUUGACAAAGGAGAGCUCGAAACAGUUUCUUUGUUCUUGCUCAAACUACGAGUAGCUAAACCAAAUGUAGGAAUCUCUGUUGCUUUUGCAGGAAGACUGAGUAACAAAGUCAACAAUUAUAUAUAUAUAUAUAAUUAAUCAAUGAAACUACUCUCUCCUUGAAAUUAGUUUAAAGAAAACAAACCUGAAUUGUGCAGGAGACGAAGUCCCUGAAGAUUCUGGUUUGUGAGCCGGGCUUAGGAUCCGAGAACCCGGAAGUGAUGAUGAAGAUGAUUCAUUAACUCUGAAAAUAUCGUCGAAGAAAUCAUCAGUAGUGAAACGACGCCGGACGGAUGUCUCUUCGCCGAAAACAGGCUUCUCGUCUUGAGGAAUCAGAGAGCCGACGUCGACGAUGACGUCACGACGCCUGAGAGCGGAUUCACUGAAGCUAUGUCGCGUGACUUGGUUACUAUUAGUAACUUUAGAGCGUCUCUUAGGAGGACCACCAAACACGUCACCGAAAUCGAUGUCCACGUCAUCACCGCCGGGAUUACGUAGCACAGGUGGUGCAGAGUUGGAGCCCAAAAGAACGGUUUCUGAGCUUGGUAAUGUCUGCAUAGCACACAAAAUAAACUUGGCACAGAAAUUUCAGUUUGGUCUGAGGAAGAUGAUACACACAAGGCUGAAGAAACAAAGGCUUAAGAAAAAGACAAAAAACAGAGAGGUAAGAGUGGGGUUCCAUUUGAUUUCAAACCACAAAAAUUGGAUUUUCCGGUUAUUACAGAGAGAAUCUUUAGACUCUUCUUUGUGGAUAGAACACAUAUAAAGCCAAACCCUUCACUCUCUCUUUGUCUUUCUUUUCAAUCUCAAUCUCUCUCUCUCUCUCUCUGUCUUGCCCAAUCUUUCUUUCUUUUUGUCUUUCCCAUAAUCUUUUUUUUGUGGUCAGAAAAUAAUGCAGAGUUAGACUCUCCUAGAACAGAAGAAGCCUCUUUAGAUUUGAGCUAUAUAGGAUACACAAAAUUCAUACUACAGAAGAAGAAAAAGAAAAGACUAGAAGCGCAAAAGGAGAACUGAUAUAUGUGGGAAGAUGAAACUGGACAAAAAAAUUUAGCCUACCUUUUUGUUUUACUGAAGGAAGUAUAUAUAUAUAAUCAGAAUCUGCCAUUGAGGAAGAAGAUUGGUUUUUGUCAAUAUCUUGCUUAACAAGCAUCCAUCUCUUUUAUCAAUCUGAACCAUCUGGGAAGCUAUCAAGCGCGUCUUGUUUGCCAUUAACAUAGAACUCCACUACUGCUUGCAUUCGUUCGAGUUUAUCUGGAUGGUAAUUCAGAUGAACAAUCACCGGCUUCAAUUUCUUCAGUUCAUGAUUCUUUCUCACGGUUUUGAAGAGAACCUUACUAUUCAUGAACUCGUACAUAUCCAUGACUCUUUUGGAAGCGUGUAAGCCAGUGUACCCGGGAUGCGAAGGGUAAAAGAGUUGCUCGUUGAAAACCGCUUGGUCCCAUGCCUCUGACUUAGAGAGUGUAUAAGCCACUCGGUCCAGUAGCUCGAUUGAAGGAAGAGUUGGUCUUAGAUAGAAAAACCCUGAAUUGAAAACCCAUAUCCUCAUUGUGUGUGCAUACCGAGCCCAUCCCAUGGAUGGUUCAUCAAACACAUCGUUGAAGCCAUACGCUGUCAUGUUGUCGUGGCCAUCGCUCAUUGACUCCACAUCAGAGUCUCUGUACAGAUGACCAAAAGGGUUCUGCAGAAAUACAAUGUCCACAUCCGAUAGAAGAACACUGUAGCCAAGCUGCAAGAACUCUCUUAACACACGGAAUUUCAGUCCGGAAACAGCGUGAUUACCUCCGCUUUUCCCAACCAUGUCAACUGCUUUAUCUGGAUCUCUCUUGUAAUAUGAAACCUCCUUCGAUUCACAGAAACUCUCUACGGAAUCAUCCAAGGCGAUAAUUAGGUAGUUUAGAAUACCAACCCUCUUGAUGCUAGCAAUCUGCAACUCCAGCAUUGGUUUCACAUUUGAAUUUGCAAGAACCACAAUGAUCUCUUUAUUGACAGCUACUUUCUCUAAAAGCUUAGCUAAUCUGGGGUUAACAGACUCGUCGGGAACCACAGUUGGAUUAGUUCUCAGACUCUUGACAGUGCCAAAAGAUCCUGCCUUAAUCUCUGAUCCCAAAACUAAGACUUGUUUCCUAGCAUUAUCCGUUCCUUGUUCCGCCAACCGUACCUUUUCCGUUAGCUCCCUGACCUGCUUCCUUAACUCUGCGUUCUCUUCGGAGAUAAUUGCAAAGUCUGAUUUGAGCAUUUUGACCCGUUCAGACGAUUCACAUGAAGCCAGUCCAUCCUGAACAUUACAAAAAGGAAACAGAGAAAAAAAUGAAACUUCACUAGUGAAAGUCAGAUGUUCAAGACUUAAAACUAAGUUCAACAUGAUGAUUGAACCAUGCAAUUUGUAAUUCUACUAAAAAAUCGACUAAGAUUUUGAAUUCCUCAAAACAAACGCAAGAGCUGACCACAGAGAAAUUUCAGAAAAAAAAAGAAAAAGGAAUGUACUGUGUUUAAGGCAUAAGAUCUAAAGUACACCUUAGAGGUUGAUUUCGAAAGGCGUUCUUCGUUAACAAUCAGCGAUGAUGAUUCCGAGUUCAAGAAGCCGUUCGGGAACAAGACGGAACAGACACACCCGAUAAGAAUUCCGACCAAGAUGGCAACCGCAAUUCGAGAUCCACGCAACUUGUGGAUUUUGUCUUUACGACCCGCCAUUGCCGAAAAGACGCAGAAGCUAAACCCUUUCUUCUUCUGUGAUCAAACUGUAUAUGUGGUGCAAGUUAAUUUUAUAUGAGCCUCUUUAACCAUUAAUUCGUAUUUAUUUCCUAAUUAUUUUUCUUAAGUUUCAUUUACUGUUUCUUCCAUAGUCCAUUUUAUUCUAUUCAUUUAUUAUGAUGGCUGCUGAAGUUGUCCUUGGUCAUACUAAUUAAAGACGAUAACAUAGUGAUAGACAAAGAAAUAAUAAGUGGUUUUAAUCUCUAUAUAUACUACACAGUCUAUAAAGAUUGCACUACUUGAUUGGAUCAUUUAUGUACAAGUUAGGCAAAAUUUCAUUUAUGUACAAGUUAGGCAAAAUUUCCCGAACCUACCACAAACCAAACUUCAAUUCAAUAUUUAAUUAAGCAGGAUCGAUUAGACUUUGGUUAUUAAGGCUCGAGAGUAAUUAGGUGAAGCUAGACAAACAUGUUACCAUCACAAGUAGGGCAAAGACAUGGAUUGAUACAAAUUGGAUCAUGCACUUCUUGCAAGUAUACGAUGUAUUGACUACGGUUCCGAUGAGAUAUCUGAGAUCUCUUUAUCAAAAAUCGCCGCAAGGAAACAGUUUUGUAAUGGAUUUGGAUAGCUUCACACUUCUUACAAGUAUCGGACUGAUGUCAGAGAUGCCAUCACUUGUUCCAAAAUAUAAAAGAGGCCAACAAAGCUCCUUUUCGGUGGUGGCUGACGGCUUUAAGGAAUCAGAGCUUUCGUUUUCAAUUUCCAUCUCCCGCCAAAUCUAGUUCUAAAUUCGGCUUAUAUUUUUCACACUUUUUAUAUAACAAACAUGAACAAUACUUGGAUUCACCCCUAGUGGUGAACCCUUGUAUUCACCCCUUCUACCUUUAACCAAUAGAAUUAUAUCAUAUCAAAUAUAAUAUUUAACUAGAAUUUAACCCGCGGUACACCGCGUGGCUAUAUUUUUUAAAAAAAUAUAAUGUUAUUUUUUAAAGUUUAACUGAAGAUAUAUCAUAUUAAUUUGUAAUUUUAAAUGUAGAUAUCUAUCUAUGUAUUAUCUAGUGUAUGAUUACUAUUGUUUAGGUUUCAAUUUUUAAAGUAUAGAUACGAAAACAUACAUUUUUUUUAAGUAACGAUGUAUGGUGGAUUUUAAAAUUUUGAAUAUUUGACUCCGAAGUAUACUGUGGGUCGGUUUUUUAAUAACUAAAAAUUUUAAGUUGUAUUUGUUUUGUUAAUAUUGUUUCUUUUGUUUUGUGUUUAAGAUUGUAUAAUUGUAUUUUGAUUGUUAAUUUUAGGAUUUCAUCCUUAAUAUACCGUUAUUAAUAUCGACCCAAACCCGUCAUUCCAUAUAAACCCGUCUAUAUUAUCCCAUUAGCUAAAUUAUUAGUGUUAUAAAAUCCAAGAAAAUAAAUUAUUAUUGUAAUAAAAUCCAAUAAUUUUAGGAUCUCACCCGUGGUAUACCGUUCUUUGAAUGAUUUUAAAUUUAUAUUACUAAUAUAUAUUUUAAAUUUAUCAUAUAAAAUAAAUGAUUUCAGGUUUUUGUGUUUUUAUUUUAUUUAAAUAAAGCAACGGCUUAAAUGAUGACAUAUAUAGUUUUUUUCUUGUAUGUGUAUAUAAUUUUUCUAUGUGAAUAUUUUGAUUAUUAUAAAUUAGUAUUUUUAUUACUAUGCAAAAUGUUAAUAUAAAUAUUUGCUAUAAAAGUUUUUUGAAGAUAUAUGGAAAGAUUGUGUAGAGAUUUUUAAAAACAAAUUAGGCAAGAUAUUGUUUGGUUCAUAUCUUUUAUUUAAAUUUUGUAAAAGUAAAUAAUAAAUGCCAAUGGCAUUCUUUGUAAAUACAUUUCAACUCCAGGAUUUAUUUGCUAAAAGUCAUCCAAAAAUGUAUAUAUAGAUCAGAAAUUAAUAAAUAAACAAAUAUAACAAAUUAAAAAAAUCAAAGCAUUUACAAAAAAAAAUUAAUUUAGUUAACGUCGUCUACGUUUACAUCGUUGCCGUUUAUCUAAUUAGGUUUUCAAUUUCAUUAUCCUCUUCCUCUGAGCCAUACGACACAAUUGAUAAUCCUCUAGACAUUGGAAAGGUAAAUUCUACAUUCACACAAGUCUAAGUACCAAUUAUAUCUCAGAACCUAUAAUUAUUAUUUUUCAUCUAAUUGCUUAUAAUCAAUUUGAAGUGUUAUAUGAGAUCACGUUAAUGCAAAUAAUUAGUAUUGGAUUAUAUAUGCUUCUUGUUUCAGGGUACGUGAAUGCAAUCAAUCAAUAAAUUCUUUUUCUUUAUUGUUUUUGUCUAUGACUCUGUCUCCCAUCUUCUGCUAUGAUUUUUAUAUUUUUUAGAAUUUCUUCGUUUGCUACUUGUGUUUGAAAUAGAAACCUUGGAAAUUUUUUGUUUUAAUAUUAAAACUCAUCGUUGAAGAACCAACCUACGACAAAUGGUCUUCUUUCUUCUUUUUCAUAAUUUCUUCCAAAAUCACAUUCAUAAUUUCUUUUUCAUAAUUUCUUUCGUCGACGUUAACUAAAUUAAUUUUUUUUUCAUGAUUUGAUUUUCUUAAUUUGUUAUAUUUGUAUAUUUAUUCAUUUCUGAUUAAAUGUUAUACUUGACAUGGCAUAAUUCUAUUGGCUAAAGGUAAAGGGGGUGAAUACAAGGGUUCAUCACUAGGGGUAAAUCCAAGUAUUAUUCAACAAACAUCUUAUUAAUUGUGAUCAAGCCCAUAAGAUACUGAUAGAGAAAGAAAUAAAUUGUUUUAAAUCUUUCGAUAGAAACAAAAGGAAGUGGUUCUAAUUUUCUUCAACCAAGUUCCAAGUUUGACAAAAAAAAAAAGAAAAGAAAGUGGUUUAAUAACCUAAAACAUCAGAAGAAAAAGAAGUUUGGUUCUUUCGAUAUCUUGCUUAACAAGCAUAUAUCCCUCUAUGAACCAUCAGAGAAGCUAUCAAGCGCAUCUUGCUUGCCAUUAACGUAGAACUCCACUGCAGCUUGCAUUCUUUCGAGUUUAUCUGAAUGGUAGUUCAUGUGAACAAUCACCGGCUUCAACUUCUUCAGUUCCUCAUUCUUUCUCACCGUUUUGAAGAGGACCCUACUGUUCAUGAACUCGUAUAUAUCCAUGGCUCGCUUGGAAGCGUGUAAGCCAAUGUAUCCGGGAUGUGAAGGGUAAAAGAGGUGCUCAUUGAAAACUGCUUGGUCCCAUCCCCCUGACUUAGAGAGUGUAUCUGUCACGCGAUCUAGUAGCUCGAUAGAAGGAAGAGUUGGUCUUAGAUAGAAAAACCCGGAAUUAAAAACCCAUAUCCUUGUUGUGUAGACAGUCCGAGACCGUGUCAUGGAUGGGUCAUCAAACACAUCGUUGAAGCCAUAAGCCGUGUUAUUGUCAUGGCCAUCGCUCAUGGACUCCACAUCAGAGUCUCUGUACAGAUGACCAAAAGGGUUCUGCAAGAAUACAAGGUCCACAUCCGCUAGAAGAACACCAUAACCAAGCUGCAAGAACUCCCUUAAUACGCGGAAUUUUAGUCCAGAUACGGCUGAACCACUUCCGCUUUUCCCAACCACAUCUAUCGCGUUAUCUGGAUCUCUCUUGAAAUAUGCGACUUCAUUCGAUCUACAGAAGCUUUCUAUGGAAUCAUCCAAUGGGAUAACCAAGUAGUUUUGAAUACCCACUCUCUUUACGCUAGCAGUCUGCACCUCCAACAUUGGUUUCACAUUGUUAUUUGCAAGAACUACAAUGAUCUCUUUAUUGACAGCUACUUUCUCUAAAAGCUUAGCUAAUCUGGGGUUAACAGACUCGUCGGGAACCACAGUUGGAUUGGUUUGCAGACCCGUGACAGUGCCAAAAGGCCCGGCCUUGAUCUCUGUUUUUUGUUCCGCCAACCGUACCUUUUCUGUUAGCUCACUGACCUGCUUGCUUAACUCGGCAUUCUUUUCGGAGAUGAUUGCAAAUUCUGCUUUGAACAUCUUGACCCGUUCA
rnacentral:lncRNA from 1 species